rnacentral:rRNA from 1 species
GACAGAGGGUGCAAACGUUGCUCGGAAUUACUGGGCGUAAAGCGCGUGUAGGCGGGCUGAUAAGUCGGACGUGAAAUCCCUGGGCUCAACCCAGGAACUGCAUCCGAAACUGUCAGUCUGGAGUGGUGGAGAGGGAAGCAGAAUUCCUGGUGUAGAGGUGAAAUUCGUAGAUAUCAGGAGGAACACCGGUGGCGAAGGCGGCUUCCUGGACAAUCACUGACGCUGAGGCACGAAAGCGUGGGGAGCAAACGGG